rnacentral:rRNA from 1 species
CCUACGGGUGGCAGCAGUCGAGAAUCAUUCACAAUGGGGGAAACCCUGAUGGUGCGACGCCGCGUGGGGGAAUGAAGGUCUUCGGAUUGUAAACCCCUGUCAUGUGGGAGCAAAUUAAAAAGAUCGUACCACAAGAGGAAGAGACUGCUAACUCUGUGCCAGCAGCCGCGGUAAUACAGAGGUCUCAAGCGUUGUUCGGAAUCACUGGGCGUAAAGCGUGCGUAGGCUGUUUCGUAAGUCGUGUGUGAAAGGCGCGGGCUCAACCCGCGGACGGCACAUGAUACUGCGAGACUAGAGUAAGGGAGGGGGAACCGGAAUUCUCGGUGUAGCAAUGAAAUGCGUAGAUAUCGAGAGGAACACUCGUGGCGAAGGCGGGUUCCUGGACAUUAACUGACGCUGAGGCACGAAGGCCAGGGGAGCGAAAGGGAUUAGAUACCCUUGUAGUC